rnacentral:rRNA from 1 species
UGUAAGCGUAUACCAAAGUUGUUGCAGUUAAAACGCUCGUAGUCGGAAUUUGGCAGUUCCGGAAGUGUGCACGUCGUGUGCGCACUUUGCGGGGACUGCUUUUGUGGUCUUGCGUAGGAUGAGGCACUUUCAUUAGUGAACGUCCUCACGCAACCACUCUUUACUGUGAGAAAAUCAGAGUGCUCAAAGCAGGCAUUUGCCGUGAAUGUAUUAGCAUGGAAUAAUAGAAUAGGACUCGGUUCUAUUUCGUUGGUUUGUUGGGACUGAGUAAUGAUUAAGAGGGACAGUUGGGGGCAUUUGUAUUCCGGCGCUAGAGGUGAAAUUCUUAGAUUGCCGGAAGACAAACUGCUGCGAAAGCGUCUGCCAAGGAUGUUUUCAUUGA